CUAGGCAGCCUUUGGCUAAGCCAGUAGUUGGAUGGGAGACCUGUAGGAAUUAGCUAGGUGCUGCUGAGU
rnacentral:rRNA from 1 species